CCUCUGGUGUACCAGUUGUCGUGCCAACGGCAUAGCUGGGUAGCUAUGUGUGGACGGGAUAAGUGCUGAAAGCAUCUAAGCAUGAAGCCCCCCUCAAGAUGAGAUUUCCCAACUUCGGUUAUAAGAUCCCUCAAAGAUGAUGAGGUUAAUAGGUUCGAUGUGGAAGCAUGGUGACAUGUGGAGCUGACGAAUACUAAUCGAUCGAAGACUUAAUCAAAA
rnacentral:rRNA from 1 species